GAUCCUGGCUCAGGAUGAACGCUGGCGGCGUGCUUAACACAUGCAAGUCGAACGAAGCAAUUUAGCGGAAGUUUUCGGAUGGAAGCUAGAUUGACUGAGUGGCGGACGGGUGAGUAACGCGUGGGUAACCUGCCUCACACUGGGGGACAACAGUUAGAAAUGGCUGCUAAUACCGCAUAAGCGCACAGGACCGCAUGGUCCGGUGUGAAAAACUCCGGUGGUGUGAGAUGGACCCGCG
rnacentral:rRNA from 1 species